rnacentral:rRNA from 1 species
UGGGGAAUUUUGGACAAUGGGCGAAAGCCUGAUCCAGCCAUGCCGCGUGAGUGAAGAAGGCCUUCGGGUUGUAAAGCUCUUUUAGUCGGAAAGAAAGAGUUGCAAUGAAUAAUUGUGAUUUAUGACGGUACCGACAGAAAAAGCACCGGCUAACUACGUGCCAGCAGCCGCGGUAAUACGUAGGGUGCGAGCGUUAAUCGGAAUUACUGGGCGUAAAGGGUGCGCAGGCGGUUUUGCAAGUCAGAUGUGAAAGCCCCGGGCUUAACCUGGGAAUUGCGUUUGAAACUACAAGGCUAGAGUGCAGCAGAGGGGAGUGGAAUUCCAUGUGUAGCAGUGAAAUGCGUAGAGAUGUGGAAGAACACCGAUGGCGAAGGCAGCUCCCUGGGCUGACACUGACGCUCAUGCACGAAAGCGUGGGGAGCAAACA